rnacentral:antisense_RNA from 12 species
GAUACCCAAAGAUUGUAAAUGGGUUAAGAGUUGGGCUAGUAACAGUUCUGACCUCGCCGAUGACAGGGUCAUAGAUACCGAAGAAAACAGCCCAGAGGACUAAAAACAAGGCACCCAACCCAAGAAGAAUUAAGUGGUGACCAAGGAUAAAACCUAGACGUUUACCAUCACCCCA